rnacentral:rRNA from 1 species
CAGGCUUAACACAUGCAAGUCGAGGGGCAGCAUUUUACUAGCAAUAGUAAAGAUGGCGACCGGCGCACGGGUGAGUAACACGUAUCCAACCUGCCGAUAACUCGGGGAUAGCCUUUCGAAAGAAAGAUUAAUAUCCGAUAGUAUAUUUUCUCCGCAUGGCGAGAAUAUUAAAGAAUUUCGGUUAUCGAUGGGGAUGCGUUCCAUUAGGCAGUUGGUGAGGUAACGGCUCACCAAACCUUCGAUGGAUAGGGGUUCUGAGAGGAAGGUCCCCCACAUUGGAACUGAGACACGGUCCAAACUCCUACGGGAGGCAGCAGUGAGGAAUAUUGGUCAAUGGGCGCGAGCCUGAACCAGCCAAGUAGCGUGAGGGAUGAAGGCUCUAUGGGUCGUAAACCUCUUUUAUAUGGGAAUAAAGUUUUCCACGUGUGGAAUUUUGUAUGUACCAUAUGAAUAAGGAUCGGCUAACUCCGUGCCAGCAGCCGCGGUAAUACGGAGGAUCCGAGCGUUAUCCGGAUUUAUUGGGUUUAAAGGGAGCGUAGGUGGAUUGUUAAGUCAGUUGUGAAAGUUUGCGGCUCAACCGUAAAAUUGCAGUUGAAACUGGCAGUCUUGAGUACAGUAGAGGUGGGCGGAAUUCGUGGUGUAGCGGUGAAAUGCUUAGAUAUCACGAAGAACUCCGAUUGCGGAGGCAGCUCACUAGACUGUCACUGACACUGAUGCUC